CACAUAAGACAUAGCAAGUCGAAACGGAAGACCGUUAUAAAUGAGAUGGAAAGAAGAUUAUCAGAUUGAAGUUGAGUUAUAACAAUGACUUAGUGGCGGACUGGUGAGUAACGCGUGAGCAACCUGCCUAUUAGAGGGGAAUAACAGUGAGAAAUCAUUGCUAAUACCGCAUAAGCUUGUAGGAAUGCAUGUUCUAGCAAGAAAAGGAGAAAUCCGCUAAUAGAUGGGCUCGCGUCUGAUUAGCUAGUUGGUGUGGUAACGGCAUACCAAGGCAACGAUCAGUAGCCGAGCUGAGAGGCUCUACGGCCACAUUGGGACUGAGAUACGGCCCAGACUCCUACGGGAGGCAGCAGUCGGGAAUAUUGCGCAAUGGAGGAAACUCUGACGCAGUGACGCCGCGUAUAGGAAGAAGGUUUUAGGAUUGUAAACUAUUUUAGACAGGGAAGAGAAAAGACAGUACCUGUAGAAUAAGCUCCGGCUAACUACGUGCCAGCCGCCGC
rnacentral:rRNA from 1 species